ACCCAAUCCCUCCCACUCGGAACUGUGAGUUUGAUGAUCGCGAGAGCAGCGAGAGGCUCGGUACUCCUGGCCGUCCAGAUGUGUUCUGAAACGCGUGCUGUUGUCAUGGCGGACAAACGCCAGGGUUAGCGACCCUUACGUAAAAGAUGCUGCGCAUGUGUGAAAGAAUCAGUUUUAAUUUCAUCUCUGGGUUUAUGACAGGCACUGCUUGAGGAGACGGAGAGUGUGAGAGUCGGUGGGGAUGAAGGACACCAAGGAAACAAAGCCUCUUAAAUCAACCGGAUCGGAUCGAUGCACAAAUGGACUCGCGGGGACCAUGGCAGCA